UUGCCGAGCUGCCCCUUUAGCUACGCACGUUCACUCUCACCUCCUCCACCUACGAUCUCCUCCUCUUACAUUAGACACGCCGCAGCGGUGCUCAACUUUCGGGAAAUGCUUGGCAAAGUGGGAUUUGGUAGGGCGGAUUUCUCGAUUUUUGUGGCAAAACGUGUUGCUUGGUCUAUGAGUGCUAUUAGUUUGUUGAAGGCAUUGAGUUUAUGAAAUGGAAAAUGGGGAGAUUUUAUGAAAUCAUGUAUGGAAAUGAUCGAGUGUUCUAAGAUUGACAUUUGGGAACAUUUUGGAAAGUGAAGUUUGAUCUGCGGAUUAGUUGUGCAAUAAGCCUGUUUCUUUGGUUCCAUCAAGUUUGUGACAUGAUUUAAAUGAUCUUCUAGUCCAUGUGCGUAUUUUUAGAGCAAGCUAUGGAACCUUUGUUCUGAAUUAAAUAAAGCAGUCAUGGAAUCCUUUACUGUUAGAAGUAAGUUGGAGUUUUGUCUGCUUGUUACACUUUGUGACUCUUCUGUUCGUUUAAAAUCAAUGAAUUCAUAGCUGUUUUAUUUUUUAAAAGUGUGGUUAUGAAGAAGGAUAAAACUGUCUUUUCAAUACAAAGUUGAUGAAAUUUGUAAACAAUUGAAAACAGA